UGGGGAAUAUUGGACAAUGGGCGAAAGCCUGAUCCAGCCAUGCCGCGUGUGUGAUGAAGGCCUUAGGGUUGUAAAAUCCUUUCGCCGAGGACGAUAAUGACGGUACUCGGAGAAGAAGCUCCGGCUAACUUCGUGCCAGCAGCCGCGGUAAUACGAAGGGGGCUAGCGUUGUUCGGAUUUACUGGGCGUAAAGCGCGUGUAGGCGGGUCGUUAAGUUGGGGGUGAAAUCCCGAGGCUCAACCUCGGAACUGCCUUCAAAACUGGCGACCUGGACCUAAGUAGAGGCAAGUGGAAUUGCGAGUGUAGAGGUGAAAUUCGUAGAUAUUCGCAGGAACACCAGUGGCGAAGGCGACUUGCUGGACUUAUGGUGACGCUGAGACGCGAAAGCGUGGGGAGCAAACAGGAUUAGAUACCCCCGUAGUCCCUGAGCGGGCUGGCAAGGCGCAU
rnacentral:rRNA from 1 species